UGAGAUUGUAUGGCAGGUUGAAACUGAGAUUGUAUGGCAGGUUAAAACUGAGAUUGUAUGGCAGGUUAAAAUUGAGAUAAUAGGGCAGGUUAAGGCUGAGAUUGUAUGGCAGGUUGAAACUGAGAUUGUAUGGCAGGUUAAAACUGAGAUUGUAUGGCAGGUUAAAAUUGAGAUAAUAGGGCAGGUUGAGGCUGAGAAUGUAUGGCAGGUUAAAACUGAGAUUGUAUGGCAGGUUAAAACUGAGAUUGUAUGGCAGGUUGAAACUGAGAUUGUAUGGCAGGUUAAGGCUGAGAUUGUAUGGCAGGUUAAAACUGAGAUUGUAUGGCAGGUUAAAACUGAGAUUGUAUG
ensembl:lncRNA